ACGAUAAGACCCUAUAGAAUUUUAUAUCGCUAUGUUUUAAUACUUAAUAUAAAACACGUAUCGAUAUUUGGUUGGGAGGACUAUUAAAUUUAGAAAACUUUAAUUUUGGAAGACUUUGAUUCAAGAAAAUUUUAACGAUCUUUAAAUUAAAAUAUUCAGAUUAAAUUACCUUAGGGAUAACAGCGUUAUACUUUUUUAUAGGUCAUAUAGAAAAAAGUGAUUGCGACCUCGAUGUUGAAUUAAGAUAAAUUUUAAACGCAGGAGUUUAAUAAUUAAGUCUGUUCGACUUUUAACAAA
rnacentral:rRNA from 1 species